AAUGGCAGGUCAGCAUACUGCCGUGAAUACGUUCCCGGGCCUUGUACACACCGCCCGUCACACCAUGAGAGUUGGAAAUACCCGAAGCCUGUGAGCUAACUUAAAGAGGCAGCAGUCGAAGGUAGAGCCAAUGAUUGGGGUGAAGUCGUAACAAGGUACC
rnacentral:rRNA from 1 species